CUUGAACAUCCCAGGGGAUGGAAGGCACAUCCCAGGGGAUGGAGGGGAGCUGCUCCUGACCAUGUGCUUUUCCUUUCCAGCACAAAUUGCUGCUGUGACCUGUGCCAGCCUGGAGGGGACUCUGGGCAGCUCCUGCUGGUACUGCUGGAAGAGACACAGGAUGGAGAGUUUGUAUCCAAAGAGACACAGUGGGAAAAGUGAGGCAUAUUCCACUGAGGUACAGCUGGGAUGUGUUGAACUCUGUGUCAGUUUCACACAGCUGAAGAUCUAUUGAAUGCUGUGAUAUUCAAAGGCAUGGCCAAGCUCUGGGAGAAACAUGGAAAGAAACCUCUGAAGAACACAGAGCUGGUGGAAGAACAUGCAAGCUUUUUAAAGCAGGCUCCCUGUUGGGAAAAUUAUUACUUAUUAGAUGUUUUUAUUGAGACAGAGAGAAGCUCUUUCAGAUUCCCAUUUUUCAGCUUUUAACUGAAAUCAGCAGGCACUGCUGAUUAAUAAAUAUUAAUCAAUAUGAGGCUGGUUUGUUGGU
ensembl:lncRNA